CCUUUACUGUAGCUUUGUAUUGGACUUUGAACAGAUCUGUGUAGGAUAGGUGGGAGGCUUUGAAGUGCAUGGUCGCUAGAUGUCUAUGUGAGCCAACGUUGAAAUACCACCCUGGUGUGUUUGAGGUUCUAACCUAGGUCCAUUAUCUGGAUCGGGGACAGUGCAUGGUAGGCAGUUUGACUGGGGCGGUCUCCUCCCAAAGCGUAACGGAGGAGUUCGAAGGUACGCUAGUUACGGUCGGACAUCGUGACGAUAGUGCAAUGGCAUAAGCGUGCUUAACUGCGAGACUGACAAGUCGAGCAGAUGCGAAAGCAGGACAUAGUGAUCCGGUGGUUCUGUAUGGAAGGGCCAUCGCUCAACGGAUAAAAGGUA
rnacentral:rRNA from 1 species